rnacentral:rRNA from 1 species
AUUGAACGCUGGCGGCAGGCCUAACACAUGCAAGUCGAGCGGAGCGGCGGAGGGGUGAGUAAUGCCAAGGAAUCUGCCUGGUAGUGGGGGAUAACGUCCGGAAACGGGCGCUAAUACCGCAUACUAUCAGACUAGGCUAGGUCGGAUUAGCUAGUUGUUGGGGUAAGGGCCUACCAAGGCGACGACACGUAACUGUUCUGAGAGGAUGAUCAGUCACACUGGAACUGAGACACGGUCCAGACUCCUACGUGAGGCAGCAGUGGGGAAUAUUGGACAAUGGGCGAAAGCCUGAUCCAGCCAUGCCGCGUGUAUGAAGAAGGUCUUCGGAUUGUAAAGCACUUUAAGUUGAGAGGCGUUACCAACAGAAUAAGCACCGGCUAACUUCGUGCCAGCAGCCGCGGUAAUAC